AGAUAAGCCCCCCAACUUGCAACCCCACAGCCGGUGUCGAUUGCUGUCCUGAUGCUGCCAUCAGUGAGAGGGAUGAGCGCGUUGAUGUCGUCGACAUAUGCGUCAGCGCCCCGGGGGAACAUGGUCCCGCCACCAGGGAACCGGAAGCGGUUGCCCUCAACUUGGAUCCAGUUCUGCACCGCCUUCUCGAUGCUGAGCUCUCUAUGAGGGAUAUUAUCGUACCACGCAUAAUCUCGG
rnacentral:misc_RNA from 1 species